UGGACGGGGAUAACCUCGGGAAACUGAGACCCUUCCCGAUAGAUCAUCAUGCCUGGAAUGGCCGAUGGUUGAAAUGAUUUAUCGCCAUAGGAUGGGACUGCGAUCUAUCAGCUUGUUGGUGAGGUAAUGGCCCACCAAGGCUAUAACAGAUACGGGCUCUGAGAGGAGAAGCCCGGAGAUGGGUACUGAGACACGGACCCAGGCCCUAUGGGGCGCAGCAGGCGAGAAAACUUUGCAAUGUGCGAAAGCACGACAAGGUUAAUCCGAGUGGUUCCUGCUAAAGGAACCUUUUGCCGGUCCUAAAAACACCGGUGAAUAAGGGGUGGGCAAGUUCUGGUGUCAGCCGCCGCGGUAAAACCAGCGCCUCAAGUGGUCAGGAGGAUUAUUGGGCCUAAAGCAUCCGUAGCCGGCUGUGUAAGUUUUCGGUUAAAUCCAUGCGCUCAACGUAUGGGCUGCCGGGAAUACUGCACAGCUAGG
rnacentral:rRNA from 1 species